UCCAAAUGUUCUGUAUCUGUACACUGUGACAUACAAUAUCUCUUUAUGAAGUUCUUGCUUGGGUGGUCCACCAUUACUAAGACUUUAACGUCAAGUGCGGGAUCGUUUCCACUACCGCAAGUUAUGGUGGGCGGUCAGUCAAUUGAAAACUUUGGAUUGUGCACUGGUUGUGUCUAGGUGAUAAUGGAAGAUCAUUUACGGAAACUUUUGAUAAUGGUGUAAUCAGUGAAACUGGGGUUGAUUGUUGGAGUGGAAUUCACCUAGAAAUGGUAAGAAAAAAAAACUCCCAGUCCUCAGGUAUGCACUUUCAUGUAAUUACAUACUAAACAAGAAAUCGGGAGCAGACUAACUUUUGAGCGUUCCAUUAAUUAACAUUCCUCGAAUCUGUACUGUGUUUUAUAAGGUUUUUUUUUUACUAGUAAGCUAGGGUUAUGGCAAACCCUCACCAGAUUUCAUUAAUGUAAUCUUUGAUACAUCUCUCCAUUCCUGUCCCUCUCUAGAAUUACAUGUAAGUUAUGCUCAUAAGGGCCAGUAAAUAUAGUACACUCAGUUUCACUAUUCCCUUCAAGUCCGGCAAUUAGAUCCGCUGCUUGAUUACAUUCUCUGAAGGUAUGCCUGAUUGAGAACUUCUGAAAUUUUGAGCAAUCUCUUAUGAUUCCCACAGUCUGAUCCUUGCAGUACCAAGGAGCUGUUUCCUGUUCAGUGAUGAUCCUCUGAGCUCUUAAUGAAUCUGUGGCCACUUCUAUGAACUCAAUCUCCAGCAUCUCUGCCACCUUGAGACCCAUCUCUAUGCCAUUAAGUUCCUGUUGAAUCACAGAAUUACUAGGGAAACUACCAUGAUAUGCCAUCAAUGUGUUCCCUGUAGAAUCCCUAAUUAAGCCACCAUAUUCUGUACUGGUACUGCUGACUGCUCCAUCCGUAUUGAUCAAGACAAUAUCACCAACUGGUUUCUGCCAUGAACACAUAAUGAUGGGCUUUGCUCUGUAGGUAGGCAAUACUCCAAUUCUGUCCAGCAACAUCUUAGUUUUAUAAGAAUCAUUGAUUUCUUCUAUCUGAACUUGUAAAUAUGCCACCAUGUCUCUCAUCAGCCUUUCCUUUAUAAGUUGCUUCCCUGUUUCAUGGCAGAAACCAGUUGGUGAUGAUGUCAAAUUACCUCAUCAUCUAACAUAGGCAGCCCGAAGAGACUGCAAUUAACUUGGCUGGAUGUGUAAUGUUUUAAUUAUUUACUCCAAACAUGACACCAAGUUUAAUUACCUUAUCAUCUAACAUAGGCACACCCCAAAAGCGUGUGUAGCCCAAAAUGUUCCAUUUAGAUUUAAUGAAUGCUUGGCUUGGGACUUAAAGCUCAGAAGGCAGCCAAGGGAUUGGGAAGUUAACCAGGUUCAGGAGCUGACUGAGACUCUCAGAAACCAGGUGUUAAGACUGUAGUGAUGCAGCUGAUACAUGGUGGUGGAAGUUAGAAAUUAUAGGUCAGUUCUCUGUUUCUAGCUUCGCAGACUUUUGCAACAGCAACACAGGAACACAAAUGGGAUCAUUCUGCGCGCCCCCCUUUCCUACAUAAACAUGUCUGGACAUUUAAGUUACCUCCAAAGAUUUAAGUUUUUGUGUGGGUGGUCCUCCAUAACAUACUGCAGACUUUGCAACAUUUGAAUCAAAGAGGCCACAUAUGUUAGAUAUAUGCAAUGGACAUGAAGAAACAAUGGUGCACCUCCUUAUUCAGUGUCCAACAACUACGAUUAUCUGGGAUUUCUUUACCACAGAAUUUAUGAACACUGGGCAACUCCUUGCAAACUGUCCUACUGUGGGAACUUUGUUAAUGAAUUGGCCACGAAGACAAAGCCAAGGUAUGGGCAACAAAAUUUGGUGUUAUGUUCCUUAUGCAGUUUUAUGGAGUGUCUGGAUCAUGUGUUAUGAUAUUAUAUUCAAGAACAAGCUAAGAGCUUGAUGUAAACAGGGUGUGCAAUUAUAUAAGGAGAAUCAUUUCGAAGAAUUGAUCAUAAAUUGGAGUGGUAUUCUGAGCUGCUGCUCUUGAACCAGGUUAGGGAUACAAGUACUGAGUAUUUCUUUUCACUAGCUGCUAAUGCUUGAUAGUGCUGCAGAGUUCACAAUACAAAUGUUGACUGUUGAGUAUUUCUUUUUCUUUUCUGUUUGUUCUAAAAGGUGUCUUGGUGAAAUUCUGCUUCACCAAGCCUGACAGUACAUUUUGUAUGCUGAUCAGGAUUGUAAACCUUUUUGGAAAAUAAAUAAAACUAC
rnacentral:lncRNA from 1 species